UCCGUUCAAAAUGAGUUUCCGCA
rnacentral:snRNA from 1 species